CGGCGGACGGGUGAGUAACGCGUGGGUAACCUGCCUCAUACAGGGGGAUAACAGUUGGAAACGGUUGCUAAUACCGCAUAAGCGCACAGUACCGCAUGGUACGGUGUGAAAAACUCCGGUGGUAUGAGAUGGACCCGCGUCUGAUUAGGUAGUUGGUGGGGUAACGGCCUACCAAGCCGACGAUCAGUAGCCGACCUGAGAGGGUGACCGGCCACAUUGGGACUGAGACACGGCCCAA
rnacentral:rRNA from 1 species